rnacentral:tRNA from 1 species
GACUUCGUAGCUCAGUUGGUAGAGCAAAUGACUCUUAAUCAUUGGGUCGAGGGUUCGAUUCCCUCCGAGGUCA